CGGGUAAACCGUCUUGUCGUUCCAUCAUUUGGAAAGGAAAGUCCGAACACCAUAGAGCAGCAUAGCGGAUAACAUCCGUCCACCGAAAGGUGAGGACCAGUGGCACAGAAACCAAGUACAGUUCGGCUGUAGUGAAAAGGCUAAACUCUAUGCGGUGCAAUGCCAAAUAAACCCACGUUUGAGGUUGGCUCGACCAAGUGGGAGGGUAGGCAGCUAAAGGUUAUUGGUAACAAUAACCAUAGAUAAAUGACAAGACUCGACAGAAUUCGGCUUAUAGGUUUACCCGGUUU
rnacentral:RNase_P_RNA from 1 species